rnacentral:rRNA from 1 species
UACAGAGGGUGCAAGCGUUGUUCGGAAUUAUUGGGCGUAAAGGGCGCGUAGGCGGUUCGGCAAGUCUCUAGUGAAAUCUCUGGGCUCAACUCAGAGUCUGCUGGGGAAACUGCCGGGCUUGAGUGUGGGAGAGGAGAGUGGAAUUCCCGGUGUAGCGGUGAAAUGCGUAGAUAUCAAGAGGAACACCAGAGGCGAAAGCGAAUCACUGGACAGAACCUGACUCUGAGGCACGAAAGCUAGGGUAGCAAACGGG